AUUGAACGCUGGCGGCAGGCUUAACACAUGCAAGUCGAACGCGUGGCGGACGGGUGAGUAAUGCUUGGGAAUCUAGCUUAUGGAGGGGGAUAACUACGGGAAACUGUAGCUAAUACCGCGUAACAUAGGAUGCGCCCAAGUGGGAUUAGGUAGUUGGUGAGGUAAAGGCUCACCAAGCCGACGACCUCUAGCUGGUCUGAGAGGAUGACCAGCGACACUGGGACUGAGACACGGCCCAGACUCCUACGGGAGGCAGCAGUGGGGAAUAUUGCGCAAUGGGGGCAACCUGACGCAGCCAUGCCGCGUGAAUGAAGAAGGCCUUCGGGUUGUAAAGUACUUUCGGUAGCGAGGCGUUAACUACAGAAGAAGCACCGGCUAACUCCGUGCCAGCAGCCGCGGUAAUUC
rnacentral:rRNA from 1 species